rnacentral:rRNA from 1 species
GACGAACGCUGGCGGCGUGCCUAAUACAUGCAAGUCGAACGCAGUGGGGACGGGUGAGUAACAAGUGGGUAACCUCCCAUCAGAGGGGAGAACACUUGGAAACAGGUGCUAAACCGAUACUGAUGGAUGGACCCGCGGUGCAUUAGCAAGUUGGUGAGGGAACGGCUCACCAAGGCCACGAUGCAUAGCCGACCUGAGAGGGAGGUCGGCCACACGGGGACUGAGACACGGCCCAGACGCCGACGGGAGGCAGCAGUAGGGAAUCUUCGGCAAUGGACGAAAGUCUGACCGAGCAACGCCGCGUGAGAGAAAAAGGUUUUCGGAUCUUAAAACUCUGUUGUUAGAGAAGCGGUAUCUAACCGGAAAGCCACGGCUAACUCCGUGCCAGGAGCCGCGGUAAUUC